UUGACAGCUCUGGAGACUGAAGUCCUCUAUCCACAGAACAGGAAAAGCACACACAACAAAGUGAGGCACAAACUUCUUCAUAUUGCCCUACCAGCCCUACCAUGAAAGAGGGACCAUUCUAAUGGGGAGAGAUUACUUUAAUUGCCUGUCAAUUCAGUCCUUGGCUUUU
rnacentral:sRNA from 1 species